rnacentral:rRNA from 1 species
GACGAACCGUGCGAACGUUGUUCGGAAUCACUGGGCUUAAAGGGCGCGUAGGCGGGCUAUCAAGUCUGGGGUGAAAUCCCGCGGCUCAACCGUGGAACUGCCUUAGAUACUGACGGCCUUGAGGAAGGUAGGGGCAUGCGGAACUGUAGGUGGAGCGGUGAAAUGCGUUGAUAUCUACAGGAACUCCGGUGGCGAAAGCGGCGUGCUGGACCUUUUCUGACGCUGAGGCGCGAAAGCUAGGGGAGCAAACGGGG